CUUAUGGCGGUUUGGCCGAGUGGUCUAAGGCGAUUGAGUACGUUUCACUUAAAAUCGAAGAUCCACCAACAUCCACUAACCAAUUCCACAGCUAGAAAUCAAUUCUCUUCGGAGGCGCAUGUUCGAAUCAUGCAGCCGUCGUGCUAUC
rnacentral:tRNA from 1 species